rnacentral:rRNA from 1 species
GACGAACCGUGCGAACGUUGUUCGGAAUCACUGGGCUUAAAGGGCGCGUAGGCGGGCAAGCAAGUCCGGGGUGAAAGCCCCCAGCUCAACUGGGGAAGUGCCUUGGAAACUGCUUGUCUUGAGGGAGGUAGGGGCCUGUGGAACUUCGGGUGGAGCGGUGAAAUGCGUUGAUAUCCGAAGGAACGCCGGUGGCGAAAGCGACGGGCUGGACCUCUUCUGACGCUGAGGCGCGAAAGCCAGGGGAGCAAACAGG